rnacentral:rRNA from 1 species
UACGAAGGGGGCUAGCGUUGCUCGGAUUGACUGGGCGUAAAGGGCGCGUAGGCGGAUAGUACAGUCAGGCGUGAAAUUCCUGGGCUCAACCUGGGGGCUGCGUUUGAUACGUGCUGUCUGGAGUUCGGAAGAGGGUCGUGGAAUUCCCAGUGUAGAGGUGAAAUUCGUAGAUAUUGGGAAGAACACCGGUGGCGAAGGCGGCGACCUGGUCCGAUACUGACGCUGAGGCGCGAAGCGUGGGGAGCAAACAGG